UCGAGCCGAUUUCGCGCUCCGCUCGAUGUUCGCUGAUUUGGCGACUCAAAGGAAGCUUUUGGAACGUGGGGAGGAGGAUUUUUACUGACUUUUCUGGGAUCUUACUAUCAGGAAAAGUUGAGUUGUAGCUUUUGAAAGCUGAUUUAGGAGGAGUUUCCAGCAGCUAGAGAGGAGUUAUUUAGCUGUAAUUUAUCCACUCUAGUGCAGGGAAAAGUUGCUUUGAAGCUUGAUUAAGGUUUCCGAUUCAUUUUGUGUUAAAUUGGUGACCUU